rnacentral:rRNA from 1 species
CAGUCGCCGCGGUAAUACGAAGGGUGCAAGCGUUACUCGGAAUUACUGGGCGUAAAGCGUGCGUAGGUGGUGGUUUAAGUCCGUUGUGAAAGCCCUGGGCUCAACCUGGGAAUUGCAGUGGAUACUGGGUCACUAGAGUGUGGUAGAGGAUAGUGGAAUUUCCGGUGUAGCAGUGAAAUGCGUAGAGAUCGGAAGGAACAUCUGUGGCGAAGGCGACUAUCUGGGCCGACACUGACACUGAGAGACGAAAGCUAGGGGAGCAAAUGGGAUUAGAUACCCCUGUAGUCCCUGUCUCUUAUAU